rnacentral:tRNA from 1 species
GUGAGAAUAGCUCAGUGGUAGAGCGCAUGCUUAGCAUGCACGAGGUUCCGGGUUCAAUCCCCAGCACC